UAAAAUUCAUGCAAAGGAACAACUUCUGUUUGACGGCGAAUUCUAAGUGAGAAGACUCGGGUAUGGAGAGACGCUGUUACUGCCACCUAGCUGCAUUUGUCCUAGUUUUCCUCGGAGUGAUCCUGUCUUGGCACGUGGGGCCCGUGGAGACCCAGGGGCUGCACCCGUACUGGUAUGAUCAGCGCUACUGGAUGAGAUGUCACUGUCCGCGCCAUGUGUACAGAUGUAACGAACUCUACGAUUGUUUUGGAUUACGCUGUGACUGUGACAGGUGUGGUUGCCUUCAGAACGCUUUCCCAGGUCCUCUUCACAACCUACCGUGGUGGAAUUCUUACUUCUAUAACUACCACAAUAC